rnacentral:lncRNA from 1 species
ACAUUUGGUAUCAGAGGGGUCUUGGGUCCGACUCUGUUGGUUGGCUAAGGGAAUCGCACCACAUGUUGAUUGACAUCUGGCUGGUCCAGUUUGCUCCCGCUGGGCUCGACCCGAGGGGUAGGGUGUCAAGAGAGCGGGGCUCUCGGGAGAGCUGCGGCUCUCAGCUUCCGUUCACGAGGGCGUGAACUUGCAGGGAAGCGUGGUGGAUUGUAAGCAACCAAAGGGAACGACUUGAGAGACGAUCCGUUGGGGUUCAAAUAUAGAGGGAAAAGGCCCAUGAAUAAGAGUGCACCCCC